UACGUAGGGUGCGAGCGUUAAUCGGAAUUACUGGGCGUAAAGCGUGCGCAGGCGGUUUUGUAAGCCAGAUGUGAAAUCCCCGGGCUUAACCUGGGAAUGGCAUUUGGGACUGCAAGGCUGGAGUUUGGCAGAGGAGACUGGAAUUCCUGGUGUAGCAGUGAAAUGCGUAGAUAUCAGGAGGAAUACCGAUGGCGGAGGCAGGUCUCUGGGCUAUAACUGACGCUCAUGCACGAAAGCGUGGGGAGCAAACAGG
rnacentral:rRNA from 1 species